AGGGCCUUAGGAUAGCAAGACCAAGAGCCUUCAAAGCUCUAAGCGGGAGUGGAACCCUCCCAAGCCCUG
rnacentral:tRNA from 1 species